rnacentral:rRNA from 1 species
GAUGAACGCUGGCGGCGUGCCUAAUACAUGCAAGUCGAGCGAACAGACGAGGAGCUUGCUCCUCUGACGUUAGCGGCGGACGGGUGAGUAACACGUGGAUAACCUACCUAUAAGACUGGGAUAACUUCGGGAAACCGGAGCUAAUACCGGAUAAUAUAUUGAACCGCAUGGCUCAAUAGUGAAAGACGGUUUUGCUGUCACUUAUAGAUGGAUCCGCGCCGCAUUAGCUAGUUGGUAAGGUAACGGCUUACCAAGGCAACGAUGCGUAGCCGACCUGAGAGGGUGAUCGGCCACACUGGAACUGAGACACGGUCCUGACUCCUACGGGAGGCAGCAGUAGGGAAUCUUCCGCAAUGGGCGAAAGCCUGACGGAGCAACGCCGCGUGAGUGAUGAAGGUCUUCGGAUCGUAAAACUCUGUUAUUAGGGAAGAACAAAUGUGUAAGUAACUAUGCACGUCUUGACGGUACCUAAUCAGAAAGCCACGGCUAACUACGUG